rnacentral:rRNA from 1 species
AGUGAACGCUGGCGGUAGGCCUAACACAUGCAAGUCGAACGGCAGCACAGUAAGAGCUUGCUCUUACUGGUGGCGAGUGGCGGACGGGUGAGGAAUACAUCGGAAUCUACUUUUUCUUGGGGGAUAACGUAGGGAAACUUACGCUAAUACCGCAUACGACCUACGGGUGAAAGCAGGGGAUCUUCGGACCUUGCGCGAUUGAAUGAGCCGAUGUCGGAUUAGCUAGUUGGCGGGGUAAAGGCCCACCAAGGCGACGAUCCGUAGCUGGUCUGAGAGGAUGAUCAGCCACACUGGAACUGAGACACGGUCCAGACUCCUACGGGAGGCAGCAGUGGGGAAUAUUGGACAAUGGGCGCAAGCCUGAUCCAGCCAUACCGCGUGGGUGAAGAAGGCCUUCGGGUUGUAAAGCCCUUUUGUUGGGAAAGAAAAGAAGCAGGUUAAUACCCCGCUGUUCUGACGGUACCAAAAGAAUAAGCACCGGCUAACUUCGUG